GCCGGGAUAACUCAAUUGGUAAAGC
rnacentral:tRNA from 1 species